GUCUACAAAGACUGAGAAAAUUGGAAAGGAGAUGUGAAAAAAUGAGAAGUUUCAGGAAAAAAUUUUGAAAGGUGGAAAAUGAGUGGAGGAGCAAAAGGUGAGUUCGAGCAGAGGUGGCUGCUACUGAGAGUCCUAGAGGAUGCAGGACUUGGGGUGAUACUGGGUACACAGAAGCUGGCAUCCUUCACAGAUCUGACUGAUGAACUUGGGACCCUUUCUGAAGAGUAACUACUUCAGUAUACAGUUAAUGAAGGACAGCCUCGAUGGUGUGGUAAAGCCCAUGUACUCCUCAGAAGAAUAUUUCUCAGUGGAAUAAAAUAGAAUACCUAGGACUACAAAGAAAACCAAUUAUCUUAAAAUGGAUUGUUCAAACUAUUUUAAAGUUAUUUUAUUUUGUCUUUAAAGAUUUUAUUUAUUUAUUUGACAGACAGAGAUCACAAGUAGACA